rnacentral:rRNA from 1 species
CAAUAGCGUAUAUUAAAGUUGUUGCAGUUAAAAAGCUCGUAGUUGGAUUUCUGGUGGGAGCGAUCGGUCUGGCGCUUAGCGCGAGUACUUGCAUCGUCUCCGGCCAUCCUUGGGGAGAGUCUGUCUGGCAUUAGGUUGUCGGGCAGAGGAUCCUCAUCGUUUACUGUGAAAAAAUUAGGGUGUUCAAAGCAGGCUUAUGCCGUUGAAUAUAUUAGCAUGGAAUAAUAAGAUAGGACUUUGGUACUAUUUUGUUGGUUUGCGCACCAAAGUAAUGAUUAAUAGGGACAGUUGGGGGUAUUCGUAUUCCGUUGUCAGAGGUGAAAUUCUUGGAUUUACGGAAGACGAACUACUGCGAAAGCAUUUACCAAGGAUGUUUUCAUUGA